rnacentral:lncRNA from 1 species
GACUUUAUCCGAUCUUAGUUAGUUUUCCAUCUCCAAUCAGAUUAAUGGUUUGCAUGCAGACCAAGCCCAGUGUUCUAUGGUGUUCUUAUUCCUGAUUUAGUUGUACAUUUGACUUUUAGUUUCUUCAUAGAUAAUAAAGUAGUGGCAGAUGACCCAGUAAGUUAUUUGUGCCCAUGCUUUGCUGUAAGCAUUAAAUUUGCUCUCUGCUUUUACUUUCGAUGUGUUAUCCGUACCCCUGCUUUUUGUGGCUAAUUAUUAUCUCCUAUCAACAUAUGCAGAGUCCAUGGUAUCAUACGAUUUGAAGUUGAAAAAUUCAUGCUAUGGGUGAUACGGAAAAGGCAUUGCCUUCUUUGCUGGAACAUUUCCUAAGAUGAUCUAAGGUAAUUAUUUUAGUCACCAUGUCAUUUAUAUGCUAAAUUCAGUGCAUUGACAACUAGAGAUCGCUUCCUUUUUUGUGUAUUGAUCAUUUCAGUACGAUUGUUUGAUACACUGCCGACAUCAUUUUGCUUCUUCUUGCUUGGUAUUUCAUUUAUUUCCUCCAGCAAGUGGAUGGCUAUUUCCACUGCUUCAGGUUUCGUUUUGGCUCUAAUUGUGUGUAUGGCAUCUUGGCCUUCUUAGGUGAAGCAGUUAUGAAUAUCCUCGCUGAUCUAUGGAUCUAUCAUUGUAAGAGUCGAUGAUAUAUGGUGAGCUGCCUCACACCAUCAUUUGGUCUUCGUAGCAUUUGAGUUGGCAAAUUUGUUGGAUUCAUGCGAUUAGGCAUGGUAAGUGCUCAGAGACUCAUAGCUCUAUAACUGUUUGCUUCCAAAAGUUUUGAAUCUUUUCUGCGCUUGGUCCUCUCAUUGGUGAGAGUAGCCAUGUAAAUCAAUCUGCUAUGGGAAAUGGGAGUUUGCAAACUACCGGAGUCUAAUUGCUGAGGGACGAGGUUCGUAACUGAGGGUCAUGUGCAGAGCUGGAGGAAGAAGUUGCGAGGCUUGGAACUCUCCUUGUGAAGGGCUCAGGGACAGCAGUGAGGACAAUACCUCUUUAGUUGUAAUUGUGAUACUCCUGAUGUGCAAGUAAUCGCUCCUGUGAUACUCCUUAUACUAAAAUGUUGGUUGUUAGUACAGAGGUGUUGACAUUAUUUGGUUCUCUGGUAUUGAUUUCAUGAUUUGUGGUUAAUACAUGAUCUAAUACAAUCCACAUUGCAGUAUAUUUCCAGUUACAUCUCC